rnacentral:rRNA from 1 species
UACGAAGGGUGCAAGCGUUACUCGGAAUUACUGGGCGUAAAGCGUGCGUAGGUGGUUCGUUAAGUCUGAUGUGAAAGCCCUGGGCUCAACCUGGGAAUGGCAUUGGAUACUGGCGACCUAGAGUGCGGUAGAGGGGUGUGGAAUUCCCGGUGUAGCAGUGAAAUGCGUAGAUAUCUGGAGGAACACCAGUGGCGAAAGCGCGUGACUGGGCCACAACUGACGCUGAGGAACGAAAGCCAGGGUAGCGAAAGGG